GAUAAUAGAAAGAGAGUUCACAGAUUUUAGAGAGAGAGAGAGAGAAGAGAGACACGGUGGAAGGACCACCGUUUCUGGUGGUAAACCCGGCUGUGCACGGCAGCGCCUCUCACUUCCGACGCAUAAACGACCGCCAUGGCGGCGGUGAGUUGUAGAGUUGUACUUCAGGUGAAGUCCGGCCAGUCUCCGGCGAAGAUCCGGUAAGUAUUUUAUUGUACUGCAUGUUAAAUUUCCAGUUAGAUCUGCUCUUGAUUUGUUGUUUGAGACUUUUUUUGGUAAUACAUAAUUCCGGCAAGAAUCCGGUCAAGUUACGACCAAGGUCCGAUGAACGAAAGUCUACCUUCAUGUCUUGGAUCAUAAUCUGGGUAUAAUUUUGGUAGAUCGGGUAUGGAGCUCAUGGCUUGUAUUGUCGACUAGGGUUCCAGUUUAGGUGUUUUGAAACCAGAUCGUUUCACCAUCGCUCUCACUCAUUUCCCCUUCCAGUUUCACAACCCAAAAAAAACCCUAAACGUCGUGGGCGAACCGACCACCAUCGUCUUCCUCUUACGGCUCAUCUUCUUCUUUCCACGGCUACUCUCUAUAGUUGGGGAACUUCCGGCCGAAAAAGUCAAAUACAAACUCAAAUACAUCGUCGAAAACGCUAAUGUAGUCUACAGACUCGAAGUAAUCACACGCGAUAAUAACAUGCCAACAUCUUAGUUGUAAGUGCUCAACCCUAAUUUUAUGCUCAAAUUGAUUACUUUUGACGAGACGACGAUUAUGUUUGUCAUUUGAAGUUUGGGUUUGUGUUAAUUUCUUCGCCUCUUAUGUCGGGUGCUGAAUCGAUUAAGCGUGCGCUUUAUUGUCCGGUAACACGAAUAACGGCGUGCACAAAUGUAGAUGGAGAAGAAUAACAUAGAUGAUAGGUCAUUGUAAUCAAGCUGUAUAAAGCCAAAAAAUGUCAUAUUAUUCCACUGGAAAUCUUAAAUACAUCUUUCAACAUGUUCAAAUUCGUAUAUCAUGUUUCUUUGGAUAUGUUUUACAUGGAAAGUGCAGUUUGAGCUACGUUACAUGAUUUGGUAUUGUGGAAGUCGAGCUUCGCAAAUCAAAGAGAUGUGGGCUAAAGGAUACAUGUCUUGAUGAUAUACUGGUAUACUUGCACCAAUCUUGAAGACAACACAACAAGUGUCCAGCUGUACUUGAGCAAAGAUUCUCUAGAAGCUUCCAUCACAACUUCCAAGGCAAGUGAAGUUAAUGUGAUGGUACCUCCCAAAGAUCCCAAUGCUGAUAUGGCGGAACAUCCUAUGCCACAUCAGUACAUUCACCCACUUACCAGGAUGGCCACUUUGUUACAACCCCUGUAUCCCACUCUGGAGCGUAAUUGGGUUUUCUGUAGAUUUGGAUAUGGAGAGUAAAAGCAAUUGUUUGACAGUUAAUAUAAAGGUUGUACUACAUGGUUUCCUUAUUAUGCAUCAUUUUUGCUUUGAAAACAUGAAGUCUUAACACAUAUU
rnacentral:lncRNA from 1 species